rnacentral:tRNA from 1 species
CGGGCUUUAGUUUAUAAAAAUAAUAGCAUUGGAAGCUAUCGAUCGGAUCUUUCCGAAGCCCGA